GUUCACAUUUAACAAAGCAAUCCAAGUUUAAUGCUGUACUUUGUUUCAAGUACUGACUUGAAAGUUAAAAGCAAGAACCCACCCCCGAAAUUUUUUGACAAGUUGAGUCUCAUUUGAAAGUUAAAGAUCUCAUAUAGACAAGAUCUUGUAAGGCAAGGUGCUUAACACAAUUCAACAGUUGGAUAGCCCAUCACAACGAGACAAGAGCAUAUACAGGCAACUAGCCAAUCAGAAAUCAAAUGUACAGAUCUGGAAAGCAAAGCACCACCCACAGUUGACAAGUGUGGACUGAUAUAAUGGUAUCAAGUACCAAACCUGCAGAACACCACAAGGGCAAAUACAGGGUAUCUGGUCAUCUUUAAAUAUCGUGUGGACAGGACUGCAGACAUUUCAAAAGAUGCCUUCACCGCAACAUUUUCUACAUUCCUUACAACUAUUUCUGAUCAGUUACAGUGGUUUAACCUUUUCAUUAAGUCUUUUGUUAAUUGGACUGGAGGAGUUGAUUGAACCAACUCUUUCAUGCCCAUGCAGAAAUGACUGCAAUAAAAAGCUAAUAGCACUCAUCUUCAUUGGACCUUUAGUUUUUACAUUUGCAAUAAUGCUCGCCCUGUUGAGACCCUGUAAACAUCAAUGCGAUCAUUGUACAUGUUCAACUAAGGCUAAGGUUUUGGAUUGUGUGAUUAAAUUUUUCAAUUGUCUGAUUCCCCCUUUUAUGUGGAUCAUCAUCUUGCUAAUUGAUGGUGAUUAUCUAGCUUGUGGCUACACAACAUGGGAAGGAAAUUAUGUUUUUGAUAAGGAGAUAAACAUAAAGUGGUGUCAACCCACUCAACUGGCCUUUAUAGGGAAUACAAGUGAUAAAAGACUUGAGUAUCAGAAGAACAUCUGGGAUUCUCAGGUAAAAAUAAGUUAAUAUUAUUAAGACAAGACUUUCUCUGGUGGUCUUAAAAACAUGCUAGCAAAAAAAUAUAAUUAUAACAGUGAGGGCUAAAAACUUUAAAAUGUUAUAAUAUCUCUUUUCUUGUAUUCCUUUGUUGUGUUGUUGUUUUUUGCAGAUUAAUGGUUAUGUUGUGCUCAUUGUGCUCUCUUUUAUCAUCAUUUGUUUUGAUGCUUGUAAAUACUGUUUUGAAAAAGAGGAUGGAACACAGGGUGGGGCAGAGGGUGGAGCACAGUGUGGAGCACAGGGUAGGGCACAGGGUGGAGCACAGGGUAGGGCACAGGGU